UUCACUCCUGCCUGCUUCUCCCUUUCACUCUCUCUCAGAUUGUGCUGCUGCUUCAGAUAAGCCAGGACUUUGGCAAAACUGUAGAAAUGGAUCCGUUCACCAGAUUACGAGACUAUUCAGAGGCCAGCCAGUAUAUCACAUCCUUGGGGGUUUUCUUUCUCAUCUCACGCAUUCAGCUGCGUGCAUUGAUGUUUUUUGGUGGUACUUCCAGAUGGCCAGGUGACAACGGAGCCCUACCAAACAAGUCCCAGGAAAAUGUACAAACUCCACAUGAAGUUUUAUAGGCUUCUGAGGAAGUGACUCCUACCAGGAAGAUACAAAAAAAGUUCCUAUUUUGCAGUUUGGAUCUCUUCUCCCAUAAAACUUCCUCAGUGGUGAAUAACUCAAGUUGUUGGGGCAGCAUAAUAGAGGGCCUGGCAGAGAAGUGGUGAGAACAAAGCCUGUUUGGGAUUGGACAGGUUGACCUCUCACCCAGACAGGCUCCCAGAAAUCUUAUAUGGCCUUCCCUGCCCUGGAUACAGCCAGCCACAAACACUUCAGGUGAGAUCUCAGGGAAUGUCCUAGCCUGAGAAGGGAUUCAAGGGCAUUUUUUUUUUCUCCCACAGCCUGUGACUGUGCUAUAUGAUUUCAUUUUCAGCACAAGAAAGGUUGUAUAUCAGACCAGUUAAAUACACAAGAUUAGGACUAUCCUAGUGAUUCAGGUUAUCUGGUGUCUUUUGUUUUUGUAGGCACACGGAUAGAAGAAGGCAGCCUAUGGAAUCAUGUCAUAAGGAAAGGAUUGCCAUUUCUCAUGGACUCUGGCUCCCUGGAGCUGAAGAGAUUGAGGAUGAGGAUGGAGACACCCGUGAUCUUGAGUUCAAAAUUAGGUCUCAUUUGAUGCUACUUGAUCUCCCUAGAGGUCUCAGCAGCCUUGGGGGCAAAAUUGAAAUCUAUGGAGAUUGCUAGAAGAUCUUCUCCCCAGAACUAAAUGAGAAUCUAAAUUUAUAGUAAUUCUUUAAGAGGAAAAAUAAACCCAAGGGACUUUAUUUAUUUAUUUUUUGG
rnacentral:lncRNA from 12 species